AGUGGCACGCCUACAUGUAUAUAUAGGAAAAGGGAAUAGCACACGCCUGGUGUGCUUCCCUGUAAAAACAUUGAAGUUGAAGGGUUAUUUCUGUCAUUUCCCUUUUCUGCAUCAAUUCUAACGCCUCCUCCAUUGUUAACCAUGGGCCAUCUCCAUCUGCUCUCUCCUCUUCUUCUCUUCUCCUUCAUAGUUGUGUCCAGCACCGCCACCCACCUCCAAUUUGGCCGACCGCCAUCUUCGCACCUCGGUUCUCCUCUCCUCUUUGCUUGUUCUAAAUUUUGCACUUUGGUGGAGUCUACAGCUGCUUCCUAUAUCAGUGAGUGCAACUACUACUCCCCACAGGGAACAUGCAGGUCAGUGUAUACUGGGAGAAACCUACUCUUUUUUCAAAAAAUAACAAGAUGUUUUGAUCUAACCCUUAUUCACUGGCACUAUCACCUGAUUCACCAUUCUCAGUUGAAAAUUGACAAUACCAGGGCAUUAUUCGUAGCUAAUCCUUUUUUAUAGUAAGCAAAACAAGUCCAUUCAAGAGGCAAAUGUUAUUUAUCAGUGUGUUAUUUGCCAAGUUGAUAAACAUGCUAUUUUCAACGGGUUAUCGUUUAUCCAAUACAACAACAAAUGUUACACUUUGUACAUGCCUUAUGAAGAGUAGGCAGUUCAAACUAUGUCAAAUAGUUAAUUCAACUGCCUACGCCUACUGACGACAACAGACAACAGCCACAAUAUUUGAUUAUGAGUGAAUCUAAUAAGUUUAAUUUUUCAUUCUAAAACAAUACUACUACAACCCUUUUUUGCCUCUCAUUUCCAAAAUGGUUGUUCCCAAACAAAAUACGUCCUGCAGACCAACCAAGAUGCAUACUCAACUCAAUCACUAAAAUGCUCCACUUUACUUAUGAGCAUAACAUAUUGUAAUAACCUUCCCAGUGAUUUUGUUUUUGUUGGGCCCGGGAAACCCUUACUAGUAUAUAUAUAUGUUUUUUUUCAUUUAAAAUUUUCGAGUUUUGGGCUAAAUUCAUCCCUUAACUAUGACUAAGGCUUAGGUUACUAUAAUAGUUAACAAGAAACAUCCUUUUAGUAUUUAAAAUAUAACAAAACUCAGUCUUCUGUCUAUUUCAGUUAAAAAACUAACAUUGCUUUUGCAAAAAGUGAUUUUCUCUCUCCCAUAUCCCUAUUUUGCCCCUCUUAAAUCUAUCCCAUCGUCUUCCAUAUUCAGCUAAACCAAGAAGGAAACUCAAUAUUUUCUGAACUUCACAAAAUAAUCAAGAUCAAAAACAAUUUUUUCUCUUCAACAAGAGUUGAAAACAGGGCAGAGGGCUAUACACAAACUAGAUAUUGUGGGUUGCAGCAUAACAACUAAUCGGAACCAUGUUGCUUCGAAGUUUAAGUGGUUGAUCGUCCACACCCAACUAUGUUGGCGAGAUGAAGAGACUAAUGUAAACUAGUGAGGAGCAUAGACAAGCAAGCAGAGCCUACCCAUCGUGUGAUUCGAACAUUCUCAAAAAUGGUUGAUCUAGAAGCACAACUUCAAGAUUAUUACAAGAAUUAGAAGCAAUUGGCGAAGAACUAUCUAUGGUUAAACAAGAUAAACAAAACUGGAAGUUGCAAAGGGAACAUAAUGAGAAAUUGAUAUAGCAGUGGAAGUAGUUGUUUUAUGUUAUGUUAAACUCACUUGAACUUCUUGUAUUAAAUUCAUUAUGUAUGUUCUUCAAGUUCAAUAAAAAGCAUUUGGUA